UCUGAGUCGGAGGACGAGGACGAGGACGUGGACGUGGACGUGGUGUCCUGGAGAAGCUGCUGCAGCUGCUGGAUCCUGGAGAGGAGGCCAGGAAAAUCAGUCGUCUCUCGCCUCGCCACAAGCUCCCAGGCGGUCAUGGCAACGAACGGCGUACUCGGUAUUGGCCCCGGAGUCGAGGGAGCGUGACCCGCGGGACACAGCAAACCCAAUAAUGAGCCUCGCGUGACGCACGACGAGCCUCCAAACAUCCGAGCUGCUGAGGAAUGUUCCGCAGUGGAGCCCGGGAAGUGAUUCAUUGAGCAGCUGAGCUUCUCUCGUAGCUUCUUGGUACCGUUCUGAAAGCCAGGGACGGGACGCACUUGAACUGAAGCCAAUGAGAGGACGGGGAGGGGCCGUCGCCAUGCGGCGGCGGGGUCUGUUUGGGGCUACGGAUGCAAAAAUGUUGGAGGUGUGGAUGUCAACUUUUUUCCGGGUGAGCUCUACAAACCUCGUAUAAAAACUGCAUAAAACUGACACGCGCAAAAAAAACAAAAAAAACCCCACCCUAAACAUUAGCAAUUUGUUAAUCCAGCGAGUGGCCUUCCCCACUCCAGAUCAGGAUCUCAUUUGCAGCAGAUCCCGAUUUGAUGGCCGCCUGCCUGGAAUUAACUCUCAGCGGCAGAUAAAGCGAAGAUCAUUUACCCCCAGGCUGCGGGAUAAAACUUGCUGAGAUGCUGCAGUACACAAAGUCGAACCUUAGCCUCAUCUGCAUGUGCCGUCAAAUCCAGACAAAAAGGGGGGGUCAAGUGAAAGGGGGUCAAGACCGCAGGACGACAGCCGACGAGGUGUAAAAACUCACCGACACAAAGGCGGCCAUUUGACGACAGGUGACGCUCCGCAGUAGCGUUUACUACGCCGGAGAGCGCGGGUCCGGCUUUAUAGCCACCCGGCCGACGGGCCCGCCCAUCUGUCCGCGAGGGGGGGUGCGGCCCCGACCCCAGGAACGACCGACCGGGAUUUAUUGGUGGCAGAACGCUGCUCGCUGCGGCCACUCAUCCAGUGACGUGUAAACACAAAAGGUCCUUGGAAACCACACACAUCAAUACAAACUGAAAAUGGACUUGCACUUCCGAGCAGGAUUAUAUUAAAAAAAAAAAAAAAAAAAAAGGCAACUUAACAGAUAACCACAAAACUUCAAUCCUUUAAAGCAAGGGGGGGUUGGGCAACCAAUGGCCUGUGGGUCAUAGGUGGCCCAGCAGAGCUUUUGAUCUGCUACCACCGCAUUUUAUUACCAUGGGGGUGUGGGAGGGGCACCUACAAA